rnacentral:rRNA from 1 species
AGGCCACUGCUAUCGGAGUUCGAUUAAGCCAUGCGAGUCGUGAGGGGUAAAGCCCUCGGCGGAGUGCUCAGUAACACGUGGACAACCUACCCAAGAGUCAGGGAUAACCCCGGGAAACUGGGGAUAAUACCUGAUAGGCCAUGACAUCUGGAAUCGAGUUGUGGUUUAAACGUAAGGCUCUUGGAUGGGUCCGCGGCGGAUUAGGUUGUUGCCGGUGUAACGUACCAGCAAGCCUGUAAUCCGUACGGGUUGUGGGAGCAAGAGCCCGGAGAUGGAUUCUGAGACACGAAUCCAGGCCCUACGGGGCGCAGCAGGCGCGAAAACUCUACAAUGCAGGCAACUGCGAUAGGGGAACAUCGAGUGGCAUCCACCAUGGAUGUCUGUCCAAUCGUCUAAAAAACGAUUGUCAGCAAGGGCCGGGCAAGACCGGUGCCAGCCGCCGCGGUAAUACCGGCGGCUCGAGUGGUGGCCGAUAUUAUUGAGUCUAAAGGGUCCGUAGCCGGCUUUGCAAGUCCUAUGGGAAAUCCAGCGGCUUAACCGUUGGGCUUUCAUGGGAUACUACAUUGCUUGGGACUGGGAGAGGUAGGAGGUACUCAGGGGGUAGGGGUGAAAUCCUGUAAUCCUUUGGGGACCACCGGUGGCGAAGGCGUCCUACCAGAACAGGUCCGACGGUGAGGGACGAAAGCUAGGGGCACGAACCGGAUUAGAUACCCGGGUAGUCCUAGCCGUAAACGAUGCUCGCUAGGUGUCACGGCAGUCGUGAAUUGUCGUGGUGCCGUAGGGAAGCCGUGAAGCGAGCCACUUGGGAAGUACGACCGCAAGGUUGAAACUUAA